rnacentral:rRNA from 1 species
AGAGUUUGAUCAUGGCUCAGAAUGAACGCUGGCGGCGUGCCUAACACAUGCAAGUCGAGCGAGAAAUCACACUUCGGUGUGAGAGUAGAGCGGCGCACGGGUGAGUAACGCGUGGAUAAUCUACCCGUGGAUUGGGGAUAACCCUGCGAAAGCGGGGCUAAUACCUGAUAGUCUGGUCAUUAUAUAGAUGAUCGGUAAAGGUGGCCUCUGAUACAAGCUACUGUCCGUGGAUGAGUCCGCGUCUCAUUAGCUGGUUGGUGGGGUAAUGGCCUACCAAGGCGACGAUGAGUAGCUGGUCUGAGAGGAUGAUCAGCCACACUGGGACUGGAACACGGCCCAGACUCCUACGGGAGGCAGCAGUGGGGAAUAUUGGGCAAUGGGCGCAAGCCUGACCCAGCAACGCCGUGUGAGGGAAGAAGGUUUUCGGAUCGUAAACCUCUGUCAGAAGGGAAGAAGUGGCAGAUAUUUAAUAUAUAUUUGCUUUGACGGUACCUUCAGAGGAAGCACCGGCUAACUCCGUGCCAGCAGCCGCGGUAAUACGGAGGGUGCAAGCGUUAUUCGGAAUCACUGGGCGUAAAGCGCCGCGUAGGUUGCGUGGUAACUCAGAUGUGAAAGCCCCCCGGCUCAACCGGGGGAAC